AUGCUACAGCGGGAAAACUUCUUCAUUCCUGAUUAUACUUGUCUUUUAUGCGGCCUACAGGUGCUUGAAACUAGGGAUCACCUUUUCCUACAUUGCCCAUUUACCAAAUGUUGUUGGACUUAUUUAUGUCCUACAUGGACUCCUACAUCCCCGGGCAUCCAACACGAGAUCAACAACUUAAAAGCCCUCCUUUGUGUUCCAUCCUCUCUGGAGAUCAUCAUCCUGCCUUCUUGGGCUAUAUGGAUGGGAAGAUAG
rnacentral:rRNA from 1 species